ACCAAAAAACCGACCACUAUACCGAUCCUAUGUGGAAAGGUUAGGUGUUCCACUGUUCCUUCUCCUAGCUUCACAAACGCGCGAGAAUGAAAAAGAAAGACCCAAUUUAAAAAAUUUGGGAAAGUGAUUCAAGUACACUCUCUCUCUCUCCAGAAACGAUCCAGUACUCUCUCUCUUCUCCUCUCUUUUUUCUCUCAACGCACCACCGACGGCCACCCCAAAACUCCCCCACCACCACCGACGCACCCCCUCACAAUCUGCUCUCUUCUCUCUCCUCCAUCUCACACACUGUCAUCCCGUCGCACCCCCACCGACGAGCAACCCCAAACCCGCCCCUACCACCCCCGACGGGCAACCCCAAACCAAACCUACCACCACCGACACACCACCACGAUCUCUUCUUUCUCACAGUUCUUUUGGCUGUCGAUCUGUUGAUGGUAGUGACUUGUUUGGCCCUUAUGAGCUUCUCAACUUCACUCUUCUUGGACCCUACUCAUUUGGUAAGUACUCCCGCUGAGAACUUUUUCCUGAUUGAAUUAUCAAGGGCCCCCAUUUCUGAGAAUUAAUCCUAUUCCAAUAGCUUUUUUGUGGUUAAUUGAAGUUUCAAGAAACCAUUGCUAUUGAAAACCAUUUUUUUCUGUGGACUUCGGAAGAGGAUUUUUGGCAGCCACCCCAAGUAGUUCGAUUUAUGACUUGUUUGUGUUGUUUUUGCUUAUAUUUAUGUACACAUAUUAAUCAUUUGCUCAAGUGACUAGGUCGUACUUUUACUACACGGAUGGGGCAGCAUUACCGCAGAUUUUUCAUGCAAACAAGGAAUUAAUCAUCGAUUAAUCGCUGGCGGGACCCAUCCGAUUAGGUCCGAUUAAUGAUUAAUCGCCGAUUACUAAUUAAUAUACACCGCUUAAUUGCCGAUUAAUCUCUCGAAGGUGGUUGAUCACUCGACUAGCGCCUAACAACUUUUAGAACAUUGCUCAUAGACCCAAAUAUAGGAUCUAAGAGAACAUAUCGGCCAAAUGCAUAUGGUAUGACUAAACUGGAUAACUUGUAUCUUUGAGAAUCAAAACUAGACAUAUGCUUAUUCUUUCUAGCCAUCUGAAUUUCACGUCUUUCAUGCAA